UUCUGGGAUAUGUGGAAAACGGUGUAUCUGCAGUCGUUGGCAUCCCGAAAGAAGUGGAAAGUGAAACGACCGAACCUGGAGGUGGGCGAUAUCGUUCUCGAAGUCAACAAGGGAUUUGGACGUGGUGAAUGGAGCAUCGGCCACGUCGCAAAGGUCUACCCAGGUGCAGAUGGAUGUGUCCGAGCCGUUGACGUUCAACUCCCAACGGGAAUCUUCCGCCGCGGGAUUACAGAAUUAUGCCUGUUGGAAUCCAUCUCGUCCGUCAAAACGGACUCGGGGGAGGAUGGAUCGCCGAAAUCCGUUUAAUGCUAAUCUGGCAACCCCGAGUCAUUUUUCCGCUUUCUUUAUUGUCCUCCCUCUCUUUAGCCCUUCUUUUUCCCUCUGACUUCUUCGCCUGCUCUAUAGCGUGGUGGAGCUGUCAGAGCCCGAAACGACACAUUUCUUAGUUUAAAGUUCUUUCAUGGUCCUCGAGGUUAUAUACUCUUCUGAUUGUUAGUGUCUCCUCUUCCUACAUUGUCCAGUCGCCACCUUGGCUCUAAGACUAUUCGCCAUUCUCUGGCCCCCCCACGUGAUAAUCUGUCCAGCAUUCUGAUUUGGGUCUGAUUGUGUCUGUCUGACUCUUUACAAUCCUUACGAGUCACUCUCUUCUUAUUUUGUGUGUGUACACUCCCAGAAACCACACGUUGUCUUUGAAUACAAUAUUCAUUCAUC